rnacentral:rRNA from 1 species
GAUGAACGCUGACAGAAUGCUUAACACAUGCAAGUCUACUUGAACUUCGGUUUGGGUGGCGGACGGGUGAGUAACGCGUAAAGAACUUGCCUCACAGUUAGGGACAACAUUUGGAAACGAAUGCUAAUACCUGAUAUUAUGAUUUUAGGGCAUCCUAAGAUUAUGAAAGCUAUAUACGCUGUGAGAGAGCUUUGCGUCCCAUUAGCUAGUUGGAGAGGUAACGGCUCACCAAGGCGAUGAUGGGUAGCCGGCCUGAGAGGGUGAACGGCCACAAGGGGACUGAGACACGGCCCUUACUCCUACGGGAGGCAGCAGUGGGGAAUAUUGGACAAUGGACCAAAAGUCUGAUCCAGCAAUUCUGUGUGCACGAUGACGUUUUUCGGAAUGUAAAGUGCUUUCAGUUGGGAAGAAAAAAAUGACGGUACCAACAGAAGAAGUGACGGCUAAAUACGUGCCAGCAGCCGCGGUAAUACGUAUGUCACAAGCGUUAUCCGGAUUUAUUGGGCGUAAAGCGCGUCUAGGUGGUUAUGUAAGUCUGAUGUGAAAAUGCAGGGCUCAACUCUGUAUUGCGUUGGAAACUGCAUGACUAGAGUACUGGAGAGGUAAGCGGAACUACAAGUGUAGAGGUGAAAUUCGUAGAUAUUUGUAGGAAUGCCGAUGGGGAAGCCAGCUUACUGGACAGAUACUGACGCUAAAGCGCGAAAGCGUGGGUAGCAAACAGG